AUGAACGCUAGCGGCAGGCCUAAUACAUGCAAGUCGAACGGGAUCCAGAUCAAAGCUUGCUUUGGUCUGGUGAGAGUGGCGCACGGGUGCGUAACGCGUGAGCAACCUACCCUUGUCAGGGGGAUAGCCCGGCGAAAGUCGGAUUAAUACCGCAUGACAUCAUUGAGAGGCAUCUUUCGAUGAUCAAAGAUUUAUCGGACAAGGAUGGGCUCGCGUGACAUUAGCUAGUUGGUAAGGUAACGGCUUACCAAGGCUGCGAUGUCUAGGGGCUCUGAGAGGAGAAUCCCCCACACUGGUACUGAGACACGGACCAGACUCCUACGGGAGGCAGCAGUAAGGAAUAUUGGUCAAUGGACGGAAGUCUGAACCAGCCAUGCCGCGUGCAGGAAGACGGCCCUAUGGGUUGUAAACUGCUUUUAUACGGGAACAAACGUCGGUACGUGUACCGGUCUGAGUGUACCGUAAGAAUAAGGAUCGGCUAACUCCGUG
rnacentral:rRNA from 1 species